rnacentral:lncRNA from 1 species
AUGAAGAGAAAGGAACUUUGCCCGCCUGAGAAGACAGGGGAUAACAUGGAAAGGGAAAUCAUAAAAUUGAGUGCUUGCUGUAUUUUAGGGCUUUUUACGUAUGUUCUUUUUUUUUCUUUUCUUUUUUAUUUAUUUAUUCAGCACACACACACACAGAAGCAGAGGCAGAGGCAGAAGCAGGCUCCAUGCAGGGAGCCUGACGUGGGACUCGAUGAUGGGUCUCUGGGAUCAUACCCCGGGGCCGAAGGUGGCGCUAAACCACUAGGCCAUCGGGGCUGCCCUUUUUAUGUAAGUUCUUACUGCAUCCUCACAGAACCCCUGAGAGGUGAAUAUAUGGUCUCCAUUUUACAGAUGAGGAAACAGCCCAGAAAGGAGACAUGGAUUAUCCCCUGUCACCCUGUAAGCGGCAGCCCUGGAACUAGAGUUCUGAUCUCAGUGCCCUGGAGAAGAGAAAUGUGGCAGAGGCAGUGGAAGGCUCCAGCCUCCAGUUAAUGAAAUGUGGCGCGCGGCCGCACAGACAGCUGUCAGACCCCUCAUUUCUCGCCGGGAUAUUGGAUCCGCGCUGGGAGACCGACAGGUGAGCGGAGGAGGGGCUGUGCGGGGGGCCGAGCGAGGGGCGCCAGCUGGCGAGAGCCCGGAGCCCAGGAGGCAGCGCCAAGCCCAAAGCCUCGAGGGCAAGGCUAAGCGGGGGUCGGCCCUAGAAUGCUCUUUGUGCCCGCGGUUCUUGCCACUUCUCCAACAGGCGGGAGACUUAACGAGCCCCAUAUCCACCGCGGCCGGACCCGGGCCGACCCGGGACGCCUGGUCCUGCACCCCAGGCGGGCCUGGCUCCCGCGUGCGCCGCGCGCGGCGGCUCUGAGUCGGCGGCCGCAGCCCGGCGCUGCCUCCCACCUCCUUCCACCCCUUCCUUCUUGCUCCCCCUCCUUUCCGCGCUCCCUCCCCGGCGGCCGCGGCCUUUAUUAGGGAUUCCGCGGCUGUCGGUCCCGCCAUCCAUCCUGUCCGCCGGCAAUUAGGCGGCCAGACAAAGAGCAGCUUCGGAUGGAUGAGGGUCCCGGCGGAUCGGAAAUGUGAAGGGUCAGCGCUGCCGCCCGCGGCGCACCCCGCUCCCCCCUCCGCAUAAUCACCGGCCGCCCGUCACUCAGCCGGCCGCCCGGGGAGCUCCGGGGCCGGGGCUGGGGAGAGGGCGGGGGUGGGACCACAGCCUAGGCGCCUAGGGCGAGGCGAGGGCGGACCUGCAAGAGGGGCGCCUCCUGCGGGAGAAUCGAGGGCUGCGGGGAGGCCGGAGGCACCUGCAGGAGAGGGGGGGGGCAGGAUAUGGCCCCGGGCGUGACCUGAAGGCGGACCGGGGACCGCAGCCUUUGGGGGCUUCCAGUGCGGAAGCAGGGCUCUAGCUGCAGAAGAGAUGAGGGUGGUGGCCCAGGCGCCCCCUGCUGGGAGACUGGGGAACGAAGCCCUAAGGGUCUCCGGUCUGUACAAGGGAAACUGCGCCCGAGGCAGAGCUUUCCUAGGGAAACUGAGGGUCUGUGGCCUGGUGCGCCUCCUAUCGGAACAGAACGAUACUGCGCUCCUAUUCCCCGAUCCCUUAAAUGCAAUCCAACAUCCACAUCAAAUCCAGAAAAGCUCCAAGGCUGGGCGAACCCGCACGCAGUCGAGUGGAAGUUCAAGGAGUCCGGGUUUUACUGCGGAUUCUUUGGCGCUAGCUCCCGGCUGACAAAUCAACAUCUCAAUCUGACAAUUAGUGGUCGAGGUGGGGGGAGAGGGGCUCUCGCCGCCUGGGCCGCUUAGCCUUACCCGCGGGCGGCGGAGAGGUGGGCGGUGGCUGGCAGUGAUGAACGACUCCGGGGGGGCCCGGGGCCCGGAGCGCGCAUUCAUUACUCGACUGACAGGCGGAUGGCGGGCCGGGCGAGCAGCGAGUGGACGUGCCCGGAAAGAGGCCAGUGACAGGAGAGAGAGUAAGGGAAGCGUUUAAUAGCCCCACCGACCGGUCAGCUCCCAAUUCUCUGCCUCGACCCUGGUACUUGACUUCUUUGAGCUCGGCCUCCUAACCAUUGGAGCUGGCUUUGGUUGUAGAAUUGGAGGAGCGGGGGCGGGAUCCUAAGCCCUUUCCCUGGGUUAGGUGAUUAAAGGUCUAACGUCAAGAAAGUCUGUAGGGAGGCCUUGGGACUGGGCGCUUCAGCCUGACCUGGGAGGAAUUGUGCCUAUCUGUGCGCGCAGAGGUGGUGUGUAGGACAGGGAUUGAUGAGUGUGACUCACAUGUGGAAGUCAGUGACAGUGUGGGUCACUGUUAGGAGUGUGUCAACCUGAUUUUGUCAGUGGUUGUGUGUGUUGUGUGUGUGUGUGAGGAUCAGCCGCAGCCUCUUCUUUCCUGUCUGUGCUGCCCCCCCCACAACACUACUUGCUGUCAGCUCUCUCUCCAGUUCUGUAAGAAAUGGCAGUGUGCACAGUGACAGCUGAGGUAUGCUGCUGGGGGUGGGGGGGUAGAUGUUAACUGUGAGGAUGCUGGUCUGGACAAGUGCUCCUUUCCAUCAUCUCCACCCCCAAACAUCAGCUCUUCUCCAACCUUCCUGAGAGUAGUGGAUGCUUUCUCCAAAGCCUGGAGACCCAGUUGCUGAGCCUUGGGGAAGGAAGUGGUUACUAGAGUUUUCCAUAGUCCACACCCCUACACAUACACAGUCUUCAUUGCAUGCGGGAUGUGAUCUCCAACACAUCUUAGUUCCCCAGACUGGUGGUGGUCAGAGAGGAGGAAGAGGUGGAUCUCAGGCAGGGGUCAGACCAUCAGACCUCCAAGAGAGCCCACCUCUUUGGGGCCUGGGCUAGUGGCCCCUGGAACCCUUUACCUUUUGGACCACAGGUCCUGUUACUAGUUGAUACCUUGGGACAAUAAUGCUAAUUAUAGUCUGAUUCCUCUCUCUUAUAACUCCCAUUCUUCACUUGGCUUUGUCCUCCCCCACUCUCAAACCCAUCAAAAGAUUAAGCUUUGUUUCCUUCCCAAUCCUGAAUCUCCUGGGUCUAUAGGGCAGUUGGGGGUGCUUCUGGAUCUCUGGUUCCCUGUUUUGUUCAAUGUGUCUUUCAGCCACCUUCCCUUUGCCUUGGUCUUCCUCAUAGCUAGGGUAUCUCUUGGAACCUCUAUAUCUUUGUCUCUCUCUGUACCUCUCCUUGUGUCCGUGUUUAGGGAUCUCCUCCAAAUUUGUCUCCCUACAUUUUGGGGGUAUGUCUUCGUUCUGCUGGGCUUCUCCCUUUGGGAAUGCACCAGUGCAACGGUGAGGCCCAUGGGAAUGGGCGAGGGAGCAAAGCUGCCUUCCUGCCCCCAUCUAGAGGCGACUGCAACCCAAGGAUGGACACGACCGGGUCGCUUCUCAUUCAGUGCACAAGCACUUGGUCGAUGCCCCGCUGUCCGCCCCCACCCCUGCAGCCGCCCUCCGCCAGGCGCCCCCCCCACCCCCGGCCCCUCCGCC